rnacentral:rRNA from 2 species
UUCGAUGUCUGGGGCUGCACGCGCGCUACACUGAAGGAAUCAGCGUGUGCUUUCCCGGUCCGGCAGGACUGGGUAACCCGUUGAAACUCCUUCGUGAUAGGGAUAGGGGCUUGUAACUGUUCCCCUUGAACGAGGAAUUCCCAGUAAGCGCGAGUCAUAAGCUCGCGUUGAUUACGUCCCUGCCCUUUGUCCACACCGCCCGUCGCUACUACCGAUUGAACGACCGAUUGAGGUCUUUGGACUGGCGCUUAUUGGUCCGGUCUCCGGAUCGGGCCGAGGUGCCGGAAAGAUGACCGAACUUGAUCGUUUAGAGGAAGUAAAAGUCGUAACAAGGUUGCC